GGAAAGGGAAGAGGAAACCUGCAUGUUGAGUAUACCCCACUUUCAGGGCAGGACCCCUCUGGAAUGUGGGUCUUAUGACCCACAAUCACACAAGGAUCACUUAAGAUGUUUUUAGACCUGGAAUUCCAGCAACCAGUUUGGAGACCCCUACAGGGGAAUGAGAUGAGUGUGACGAUACAACUUCUUCAUUUCCCUGUCCCGCGACUUCACCCUGCACUCUUCCACCAGUCAAUGAUCUCUAUGCUUCAGCCCACUCCAAAACUCUUGAAAACUCUACCUCCAAACUCCUCAGGAGGACAGAUUUGAGGUUUCCUCCUGUCUCCUAGUUCUAUGACCCUACUAUUAAAUCUCUUUCUCUGCUGCAAUC
rnacentral:lncRNA from 1 species